rnacentral:tRNA from 1 species
UAUAGCUCAGUGGUAGAGUACAUGCCUAGCAUGCACAAGGUCCUGGGUUCAAUCCCAGUA